rnacentral:rRNA from 1 species
UACGUAGGGGGCAAGCGUUGUCCGGAUUUAUUGGGCGUAAAGAGCGUGUAGGCGGCCAUACAGGUCCGUUGUGAAAACUCGAGGCUCAACCUCGAGACGUCGAUGGAAACCGUAUGGCUAGAGUCCGGAAGAGGAGAGUGGAAUUCCCGGUGUAGCGGUGAAAUGCGCAGAUAUCGGGAAGAACACCCGUGGCGAAGGCGGCUCUCUGGGACGGUACUGACGCUGAGACGCGAAAGCGUGGGGAGCGAACAGG